ACGAGUGUUCAUAUAUGUUUCUGAUAGUGCACUGGUGACAUUAACUUUCCAUGACAAGAAGGAUGUCAACUCCCUGAACCUGUUUCUCAACUCCCAACAAGUGACCAAGAGGACGUGGAGAAAUUGAGCUUGGUACUGAAGCUUCAUCACAGCUGGCUAGCUUUCUGAGUCCUGGGAGGGUCUAUGCAUGGUGCCAAAGAAGAGAGGUAUGCCACAGUCCUCUUGAGUUGACAAGUGUUAGUCAGUACCCUCAGACUACCCAUGGAGGCCAGCUAACCACCAGAAAAUACAGCACAGAAAUGUGAAACACACAGCACUAUGUAAAAAGACCCGGAGAAGGACACUAGCUCACAGAGCAAGAGGUGAAACUUUGAUUUGGCAUAUUCUAGAAUGAAAUGUGCACUUCAACCAAAGACCUCCAAGAACUAUAUUUUAUUAAAAGUAAAAGUCAAAUUUGAGCACAAAUUCUUCCCCACUAGAAC